UAGAGCUCAAUCGGUAGAGCAUGAGACUCAAUCUCAGGAUUGUGUGUGUUCGAGCCCCACAUUGGGCAAAA